ACUGUGGUGGGGUAAUGGUAACCUCUUUGCCUUCCACCUUACGUAAGCAAAGGCCACGGGUUCGAUUCCCGUCCACAGUA